UGGAUACACCAGGACCCCACAACAGACCACCACGAGGAGCAUAAUCAGAUGUAUUAAAUAUGAUAAAUAAUGAAACGACACUUAUAUUCACAGAGUAGCAACGCUCUGAGAUUAAUGGACACUCGUAAAAGCUAAUAAUAAAUGACCGUGCGCGAGCCAGGGAUCGCGCAGCCCACAUCGGGGCAUGACAUGAUAGGAGACAGCUUUGCUGCUGGAGAACAAAUGACGUCACUGUCAUCCUGUAUGAGUGGUGCAUUUAAGGCUUUUUGUUACCAGAUUACCAUGUAACUUCUUCAGCAAUGUCAGCAAACUCUGAUCAAUUUUCCUAUUCUCCUGAUAAUCAUUGUCUCAUCAAACAUGGCAUUGCAGUGGAUAGUGAUUUUUUGAAAGACCCUUUGGAUGACGCAUCAACUAGUGUCACACAUGUGCUUCCUCUCAGGUGUGCCCAAUAUGUGAGACAUGAAAAGAACCAAGAAUUGGACCAGGGAAAUGGCAACUGGACAUCAGUGAUUAAAGAUGCUUUAGAGAUGAGUAAUGGAAUGGAAAUGGAACAGACUUUCUCCAUGGAUGAAUGUGGCCCCCUAAUGGACUAUAAUCCUAUAUAUAAAGGACCUGAAACUGAGGCAUAUUUUAAAUUACAGGACCACGUCAAUCUUCAGAUUGCAGGAUCUAAACUAAAUAAGCAGCAGGAUGGGCUAGGAGUAAAAAAAGAACCAGAUUCCUUUAUUUCAGUGUUGUCAGAAGAUAUCAGUAAAAAUAAAGAUGUU